GAAGAUCUUGCAGGGGGGUCUGAUCCGGGAGGUGGUGUGGUUUCUGAAGGUCCUCUCUGCUAGCUUCUCUCUGAAGUACUUCACUGGAUUCAGGAAAUAAAGCUGGAUUACAGCUGACAACCUCAUGAGAUGUACAGAGAUAGUGGCCCUCAUCCAUCCAACUGUUGUACCAUCAAAUCUGAUCUGAAAGUGUUUUCCCAUUUCAACACUAAAGAAUUGAUCCGUUCAGAGCUCUAAGAUCAGUCUCAGUGACGUCAGUCCCCUUACCUACAAAUACGCUACGCUUACACUACCCACCAAGUUUUUGUCAGUGGAUGUGACAUGGAUCAGAUAAGAUUUGGCAUCCUGCUUAAAACUAUUGUUUUACAGAGUUUUAUCUCGAGGACCGUGCUUU